rnacentral:lncRNA from 1 species
ACUAACAACAGCGGAUGAUGCGUCGUUACUUAAGCUUUCAACUGCGACCUCAUCGGAUUCUCUGUCCACGUCAUCACCGACAUUGAGAUCAUUCAAUGAGCUACCAAUAUAUGAAUUGGCCGCCGUCCUCAAAUCAUAGUGCUCCACCGGAACCCUACUCCCCAUUCACUUCACUGCCCUACAGAAAAACCAUUUCUAAUCAUGCACUGAUUAGUGAUUAUCCAUGUGAAGAAAAGAGGGUUUAACGGCUACACAGACCUGUUUACCUUAGUGUGCCGAGCCUGUCGCUAGAUUAGUAAAAACCCCAAAGCAAGAAACCUAGCCCGCCCACUGAUGUCCGUACCAGCUUCCAAGCCAGCAAACUCGCUUUGCAGAAAUUUCAGAAGAGAGAGAGAGAGAAAGGGUGGAUCGGAUGCUAUAUGAAGUUUACUUUUCUUUUUCCAUUUUUUCUUUUUUCUUACUUUUAUUUCAACCCCAAC